GACGAACGCUGGCGGCGUGCUUAACACAUGCAAGUCGAACGGAAAGGCCCUGCUUUUGUGGGGUGCUCGAGUGGCGAACGGGUGAGUAACACGUGAGUAACCUGCCCUUGACUUUGGGAUAACUUCAGGAAACUGGGGCUAAUACCGGAUAGGAGCUCCUGCUGCAUGGUGGGGGUUGGAAAGUUUCGGCGGUUGUGGAUGGACUCGCGGCUUAUCAGCUUGUUGGUGGGGUAGUGGCUUACCAAGGCUUUGACGUGUAGCCGGCCUGGGAGGGUGACCGGCUACAUUGGGACUGAACUACGGCCCAGACUCCUACGGGGGGCAGCAGUGGGGAAUAUUCCACAAUGGGCGGAAGCCUGAUGCAGCAACGCCGCGUGCGGGAUGACGGCCUUCGGGUUGUAAACCGCUUUCGCCUGUGCCGAAGCGUGAGUGACGGUAAUGGGUAAAGAAGCACCGGCUAACUACGUG
rnacentral:rRNA from 1 species